CUUAAUUUGCAUGCUGUGCCAGUGUAAUAAAGUAGUAUAUAAAUGGAGAUUGCACGUUAUCCAUGCACGUAUAUAUCCUGUAUGUCUGUUAUGACUACAGUAUAUCAAGAAAUGUUGGAUAAAUCAUAAUGUCAAUUUACGUUUCCAGACGCUGAUGAAAAAUCCUGAGAUUUCGAAGAUAAGAGUCUAUUAGUAACAGAAUAUGGUACGAGUCCCGAGUCCGUUUUACGUAUAGAUGUGGAAGAAUCGGACGUAUCCAAUAGCAGGAAGCGAACAGCCAAAUAGAU